rnacentral:misc_RNA from 1 species
AAGUCGUAACAAGGUUUCCGUAGGUGAACCUGCGGUUGGAUCAUUAAAAAAAUUUUAAUUAAAGGAUUCCCCCUUCGUUGUGUUAGUGAGCCCCCCCCUUUUAAACAAGGGGGGCGGGUCGUUAAAUUUCACGGGGGGUCGUUCUUUAAACCCAACUUUGUGAAUUUGUUUUUAAAAAAGAUUUGGGUAUGGUGUUUUCGUUUUUAACGAGAGCCGCAAGUGCUUAGCCAGCCUGCCCUUAUCACAACCAUAAAAAUUUUGAACCUUAGCAGUAUUCUUAGUCUUUAAUUUAAAUUUAUUUUUUUAUAAUGAAAAAACAACUUUUGACAACGGAUCUCUAGGCUCUC